rnacentral:rRNA from 1 species
AUGACCUCAGAUCAAGCGAGAUUACCCGCUGAAUUUAAGCAUAUUAAUAAGCGGAGGAAAAGAAACUAACUAGGAUUCCCUCAGUAAUGGCGAAUGAAGCGGGAAGAGCUCAAAUUUGAAAUCUCGGGGGAGGACCCUCGCGAAUUGUAGUUUCUAGAGGCAGCAUCGGACGGCGGCGCGGCCCAAGUCUCUUGGAAAGGAGCGUCAGGGAGGGUGACAACCCCGUGCCGGCUGCGCGGCGGCCGUCUGUACGAUGCGUCUUCAAAGAGUCGGGUUGCUUGGGAGUGCAGCUCUAAUUGGGUGGUAAAUUUCAUCUAAAGCUAAAUACGGACGAGAGACCGAUAGCGAACAAGUACUG